GUAGAAUGAUCUCUAAACAUAUCAAAUUUUCAUCUUCACUUGUUGGCAGUAUAUUCCAAAUAAAUGUGCAUAUGAAAUAUUUUAAAGUAAGCAAUUUAUUAUAUACUUCUAUAAAAUCUAUUUGUAAAAACAAAAAACUUAAAAAUGGCCCGUUGCUACUAAUAUCACUAUCAGGAACUGUUAUUAUUAUUAUUAUUAAUAACAUCACCUAAAAGUCCCGAAGUAGCAAUUUGCGUAUCGUUUCAUGUACAAUAUAUAUGCGACAAUUUACUAUGACGUCAUUAACGACAUCAUAAGGCAACAUCAUUGGUUACAUCAUAAAUGAUAUCCGUGGUCUGAACAUGAUUGAGUAUGGCAUAUAAGUGAGGACGUAAACGUUGGAUAAAUUCAACUAUUAACUAUAGUAGGCAUGUACAGCAUGCAACCAUAGAACACAUUAGUUUUAAUAAAAAAAAAAUUAUAGAAAUCAACGAAAUUUGAAUAAAAUUAAUAGAAAACUUAUAAAUCUUAAAAAUAUAUUCAAUGAAAAUAAUCUUGAAUAAUCAUCAUAUGAUAUUCACAAAACUUUGGUGGAAUUUAUUUAAAUUUGAUAAGUGCAAAUUAGGAAAUAAAAUUUGAUACUUAUAAUCCCAGAG
rnacentral:lncRNA from 1 species